AUAGAUAUGAGAAAAUACGGUUUGAAAAGUUGUUAACUGAGUAGAUGUAAAAGGAAAUCCGGUUCGAGUCCGGAACAACCGCCAUUACUGUAUUUGACGAGAUGAAAGCACGAAAUGUCCGCGGGAAAGUCAUGCCCGGGGUCUGACUGCUUUUUUGCGGAUUUUUCCGCGGCAUCAUAAGUCAGGAAACCUGCCGUAUUUUCCGGUUCAAC
rnacentral:ncRNA from 2 species